rnacentral:tRNA from 1 species
GGGGAUUUAGCUCAGUGGUAGAGCGCUUGCCCAGUAAGUGCAAGACCCUGGGUUCAGUCCCCA